AACGAACGCUGGCGGCAGGCCUAACACAUGCAAGUCGAACGGGUCCUUCGGGACUAGUGGCGGACGGGUGAGUAACGCGUGGGAACGUGCCCUUUGGUUCGGAAUAGCCCCGGGAAACUGGGAGUAAUACCGGAUAAGCUCUUCGGAGGAAAGAUUUAUCGCCAAAGGAUCGGCCCGCGUUGGAUUAGGUAGUUGGUGGGGUAAUGGCCUACCAAGCCGACGAUCCAUAGCUGGUUUGAGAGGAUGAUCAGCCACACUGGGACUGAGACACGGCCCAGACUCCUACGGGAGGCAGCAGUGGGGAAUCUUAGACAAUGGGGGAAACCCUGAUCUAGCCAUGCCGCGUGAUCGAUGAAGGCCUUAGGGUUGUAAAGAUCUUUCAGCUGGGAAGAUAAUGACUGUACCAGCAGAAGAAGCCCCGGCUAACUCCGUGCCAGCAGCCGCGGUAAUAC
rnacentral:rRNA from 1 species